rnacentral:rRNA from 1 species
UGCAGUCGAGCGGACAGAUGGGAGCUUGCUCCCUGAUGUUAGCGGCGGACGGGUGAGUAACACGUGGGUAACCUGCCUGUAAGACUGGGAUAACUCCGGGAAACCGGGGCUAAUACCGGAUGGUUGUCUGAACCGCAUGGUUCAGACAUAAAAGGUGGCUUCGGCUACCACUUACAGAUGGACCCGCGGCGCAUUAGCUAGUUGGUGAGGUAACGGCUCACCAAGGCGACGAUGCGUAGCCGACCUGAGAGGGUGAUCGGCCACACUGGGACUGAGACACGGCCCAGACUCCUACGGGAGGCAGCAGUAGGGAAUCUUCCGCAAUGGACGAAAGUCUGACGGAGCAACGCCGCGUGAGUGAUGAAGGUUUUCGGAUCGUAAAGCUCUGUUGUUAGGGAAGAACAAGUGCCGUUCAAAUAGGGCGGCACCUUGACGGUACCUAACCAGAAAGCCACGGCUAACUACGUGCCAGCAGCCGCGGUAAUACGUAGGUGGCAAGCGUUGUCCGGAAUUAUUGGGCGUAAAGGGCUCGCAGGCGGUUUCUUAAGUCUGAUGUGAAAGCCCCCGGCUCAACCGGGGAGGGUCAUUGGAAACUGGGGAACUUGAGUGCAGAAGAGGAGAGUGGAAUUCCACGUGUAGCGGUGAAAUGCGUAGAGAUGUGGAGGAACACCAGUGGCGAAGGCGACUCUCUGGUCUGUAACUGACGCUGAGGAGCGAAAGCGUGGGGAGCGAACAGGAUUACAUACCCUGGUUAGUCCACGCCGUAAACGAUGAGUGCUAACUGUUAGGGGGUCUUCCGCCCCUUACUGCUGCAGCUAACGCAUUAAUCACUCCGCCUGGGGAGGACGGACCCAGGACUGAAACUCAAAGGAAUUGACGGGCGCCCGCACAACCGUUGGACCAUGUGGUUUAGUUCGAGGCAGCCGAAGAAC